AGAGUUUGAUCCUGGCUCAGGAUGAACGCUGGCGGCGUGCCUAAUACAUGCAAGUCGAGCGAACGGACGAGAAGCUUGCUUCUCUGAUGUUAGCGGCGGACGGGUGAGUAACACGUGGAUAACCUACCUAUAAGACUGGGAUAACUUCGGGAAACCGGAGCUAAUACCGGAUAAUAUUUUGAACCGCAUGGUUCAAAAGUGAAAGACGGUCUUGCUGUCACUUAUAGAUGGAUCCGCGCUGCAUUAGCUAGUUGGUAAGGUAACGGCUUACCAAGGCAACGAUGCAUAGCCGACCUGAGAGGGUGAUCGGCCACACUGGAACUGAGACACGGUCCAGACUCCUACGGGAGGCAGCAGUAGGGAAUCUUCCGCAAUGGGCGAAAGCCUGACGGAGCAACGCCGCGUGAGUGAUGAAGGUCUUCGGAUCGUAAAACUCUGUUAUUAGGGAAGAACAUAUGUGUAAGUAACUGUGCACAUCUUGACGGUACCUAAUCAGAAAGCCACGGCUAACUACGUGCCAGCAGCCGCGGUAAUACGUAGGUGGCAAGCGUUAUCCGGAAUUAUUGGGCGUAAAGCGCGCGUAGGCGGUUUUUUAAGUCUGAUGUGAAAGCCCACGGCUCAACCGUGGAGGGUCAUUGGAAACUGGAAAACUUGAGUGCAGAAGAGGAAAGUGGAAUUCCAUGUGUAGCGGUGAAAUGCGCAGAGAUAUGGAGGAACACCAGUGGCGAAGGCGACUUUCUGGUCUGUAACUGACGCUGAUGUGCGAAAGCGUGGGGAUCAAACAGGAUUAGAUACCCUGGUAGUCCACGCCGUAAACGAUGAGUGCUAAGUGUUAGGGGGUUUCCGCCCCUUAGUGCUGCAGCUAACGCAUUAAGCACUCCGCCUGGGGAGUACGACCGCAAGGUUGAAACUCAAAGGAAUUGACGGGGACCCGCACAAGCGGUGGAGCAUGUGGUUUAAUUCGAAG
rnacentral:rRNA from 2 species